UGAGAGUUUGAUCCUGGCUCAGAGCGAACGCUGGCGGCAGGCCUAACACAUGCAAGUCGAGCGCCGUAGCAAUACGGAGCGGCAGACGGGAGAGUAACACGUGGGAACGUGCCCUUCAGUUCGGAACAACCCAGGGAAACUUGGGCUAAUACCGGAUACGUCCGUAAGGAGAAAGAUUUAUCGCUGAAGGAUCGGCCCGCGUCUGAUUAGCUAGUUGGUGGGGUAAUGGCCCACCAA
rnacentral:rRNA from 1 species